CUCUGCGGGAGAAUGUUGUCUGUCGCUGUGUGGAUGAAGAACAGCAGUGAAUCCAAGCAGAGUAGUCAGUGUGAAUAUCCUACUAUGAAUAUUAAUGGAUUACAAGGGCGACACAGUUUGAAUUGUUCACAAGGAUUUAACAAAAGGAUUUAUCACUGAAACAUUUUGAAAAAUCAUUAGGAUGGACGCGAAAGGAUUUAUCCCUCCGCUUAGCGGAGCACACAUGCGGUUAUUGUUAUUAUUAAGAUGUGGAAUAUACUUGCAAUUUGUAUGGAUUUAAUACGUGUUUAUUGAUUGUUUUAGUGGGUAUACUAAAACAGUCAAACAAGUGGGUAUGCUUUUUGUCUUUUACGAGGGAUAUAUUUCAAGCUCCAGCAUUCGCAUUGACACCUAUAGCCUCCGGACAGAAGAGGUCCCAUUCAGGGACGCCAGUGGUCCGACACCGACAUGCCGGCCUAUGGGUCUCUUGGGGAUAGCCUGCUACUUGAGGAUGGCUGAACUUCAGCUGUCGCCAAUGGAAAUAAAAAGACGCACAAAUUGGGAUCACUACGACUUUGUGAUGACUGCAGAAUUGGGAACAGUGCAAUGGGAUUGGAUUGUAGCCUAUGUUUUGAGUGGCAUUUUUGAGGGGAAUUCCUUAAUUAUGGAGAAGGUACUCAUGUUUUGCUAGUCUGUACGGUAUGGAAUAGACCAUUACGCAUUCCCAAAUGGAUUGAUAACUGAGAGGAAGCUUCCAAAUUCCAGGAAUACAGAAAGAGACGUCUUUCUGUGUACUCACAGGCCUUUGUGUGUUGACGGCAACCAUCAGCUGACGGCAACCAUCAGGCCGGAAUGUGGUCAUUAGAAUACGGACAAUUGAGAUUCCAAAGGGAUGGAGAGAAGCAGACAACCUUCACUUACCUUGGACUGGCUCCUGUUUCAGCAGAAGUAGAUGUUUUGGGGUUUCUAUCCAGCUAACACCAGUUUGAUAUUGAGAUUAACAUCCAGCUCUAUGGACUACUGGGAAAGAAUGGGAGGAUUAUAGUCCACCAUUUCUCACCCCCUUUUGGAUAGGUACCUCCCGGAUUGGUACAUGAUAACUCACGCCUUUCCGGACAGGUACAUGGUGGAACAGCCAAUUAACUCACGCCUUUCCGGACAGGUACAAGAUGGAACAGUUCACUGGACUCACCUACCCUCUGACAUGAACCUAAAGGCACAGUCCGCACUCCAGUUUGUCCUCCGUCAUGUACCAUACAUGGUACAGUUUCACAUUUAUUCUCGAACAAAAGAGGUCCCCUCCAGCAAUUAAUUCAAUGAGAUUGCAGCACAAUCUCAUUGAUUAUUCUCCUGCACAUCAUGCCACUCUGUUGCACAGUCAAAUGAAAGAAAUGUGUAAUAUACAUUGUCAAUUAAUUAAAUACAUUCUGAACUUACUA